GCCAGAGGGAGCACGUACCCGUGCUCUCCCCCCGGAACGGGGGACUGCCUCCUUCCCUCUCCAGGCAGGGCGACGCGCCCUGUAGGCGCCCCCCUCGUGGUGGUUAUCGGAGCAUCUGCGAGGAAGGAGCGUUCACUGGGGACCCGAGACCCAUUUUAUCAGCUCUCUGUGCAGAGACUCAUUUGAGGCCUGCGGUGAUGAUUGAAAUAAGGAUGCGCCCCCGGUGACUAUGGAAACCUCAAAAGGUGGCCACCAGUAGAAGAGAUAAGUAGGACUCAAGGCCGCCCUGAAGCUGGCAGUACCCGUUGCAGGGCACUCGGCUGGGGGCACCUGGUCCCGGACUGCGCUGUGGUUCCACAGCGCCCUGUGAGCGUAUAGGCCGCGGAAGCCGCUUCUAGGGGACCCUCCCUCCGCCCCUCCCGCGCUCCUCUGAGAACUGUUACCUUAAUAGGCAAGAACUGGGAGAAGGCGAGAGAUGCGGCUUCCCAAACACCCAGAAGGCUGAUCCUCACCCUGCUCCUCCUGGCCAGCGGAUCCCCGGGUCCUGCUGGAUUCCGCUGAUGGGAGGGCUUGGAAAGGAAUCCAAUUCCUCGGGCAUUGUUGUGAUGCUGAGAUAGAAGAAAGGGGGGCAGGUUUUGUUUUGCUUUAUUUUAUUACGUUAGGCUGCUGGCGGGGAAACCAGGCUCCCACUCCCUUUGACUAAGUGUCUGCAAUAUGUGGUGCCAGACAGUAUGGGGGCGACGAGAAAGUGUAAAAUCCGGGGAGCCUAUGCAUUAAUUCAGCAAAAUCAUCAGUACGUAUCAUAGGCCUGGCAGCACUGUCUAUGGUGGUAGAGACAAAUCUGUAAGCAAAUAAUUAGAGCAAGGUGAGGAGGUUGGGCAGGGUGCGGGUCAGAAGCCGCUGGCCCCGGGCAUUGGGCAGGGAAGGCCUCGCUGAGGAGAGUGGGCCUGAGCUGGCCCUGAAUGAGCCUGAGCAGAGAGGAAGAGCAGAAGGGGCAGCAUGUGCAAAAGCACAGGGCUGGAGAGAACAAGGCCUCCUGGAGGGACCAUGAGAACUGCUGUAGCCUGAGUGGAGCAGAGGGAGACAUGAUGCCUGGAGCUGUAGAACAUUCUGUGACUACAAGGAAAGGCCAAGAGAAUUGCUGGCCUUCCAGCCAGGAGAUUGUUGAACUGUUGAACCAACACCAGCAGCCACUUACCUCCGGAUUUCUUGUUAUAUCUGAUGGGAAAUCCAGAUGAAGCGGUCUGGGAGACAGAUGAAAAUAUAAUUGGGAUUCUGGUUUGAUGCUUGAAAUGACUGCAUGAAAUUUUUGGUCAAGACUUGUAGAUGAUGAUCUCUUCAAUGUUUAAACAUUUCUCACUGAUGAGAAACUUAAUUAAAAAUAAAUUCUGAUUUGAGGUAUAACUGACAUACAUUAUGUUAAUUUUAAAUG